AACGAACGCUGGCGGCAUGCCUAACACAUGCAAGUCGAACGAGACCUUCGGGUCUAGUGGCGCACGGGUGCGUAACGCGUGGGAACCUGCCCUUAGGUUCGGAAUAACUCCCCGAAAGGGGUGCUAAUACCGGAUAAUGUCUUCGGACCAAAGUUUUAUCGCCUUUGGUUGGGCCCGCGUUGGUUUAGCUAGUUGGUAGGGUAAAAGCCUACCAAGGCGACGCUCCAUAGCUGGUCUGCGAGGCUGAUCGGCCACACUGGGACUGGGACACGGCCCAGACUCCUACGGGAGGCAGCGGUGGGGAAUAUGGGACAAGGGGGGAAGGCCUGAGCCAGCAAUGCGGCGUGAGUGAUGAAGGCCUUAGGGUUGUAAAGCUCUUUUACCCGGGAUGAUAAUGACAGUACCGGGAGAAUAAGCUCCGGCUAACUCCGUG
rnacentral:rRNA from 1 species